AGGCUCUGAAAAUCAAAUGAAAAUCAUAUUUAGGUCACGACCGAGCUGUUUGUGAACUAAAUAUGCUGUAAAAAGGUGAGCUAUUUAAGCCCACCACUGUAUGAAAUGCUUGAAUGUGGACAUGUCCGCUUUUGUGUAUAACCGUCUCAACGGGGGGCCUUUGUCUUUGAGGCAGUCGAAUCCAUCUCUCAGACAAUCAGAAGCUGAGCACUCCUUAUCACAUACUCCAUUCCCAAACUUGGCCUGGCACGUUUUUCCUUCUUUACAGCUGCUGUAUGGAUCACUAGGGGAGCCUUUUUAGGAAAAGCCAAACUAUUAAAAGGGCCCACAUCACUAAAGAUGUUCAGCAUCAUCCUGGCUGGAAGGGGCGGGGCCUUGACCUGAAUUCCAGGAGAAACAGGAAACGAGGGGCAUGACACAAACAGGAAGUUUCCAGAAGAGACGAACAGCAACAGGAAAUGGGGUGGAAUGGGCGUGGAUGAAGGCUGAAGGGCAUUACUGUAGCGAUGAGGGAUGUAUUAGAGAGAGACAAUAGCUUUGACAGGUGUGUGAAGUAAAAAUCAAGCCAUUAUGGCUGAACAAUAAACCAGAAUUUUGUAUUGCAAAACACAGAAAGUAUAAAUGGGUUUACUUUUACAUUGUGUAUAUUUUUAAAACCUACAAUAUGUGCUUAUGAACUACAUUACUGCAAGAAUUGUGUUGAAGGAAAUUUGACAUCUCUUCUAAAAAAACCUUCACUUCGUUUCACAUUCAAUAUCUCAUUUUUGU